rnacentral:tRNA from 1 species
GGAGGGCAUUGCCCGUCGGACGGGACUUGGUCUUAAAAACCAUUGAGCGUGUUAGGUGCUGCGGUUCGACUCCGCUGCCCUCCG